GAUGAAGAACGUAGCGAAAUGCGAUAAGUAAUGUGAAUUGCAGAACUCAGUGAAUCAUCGAAUCUUUGAACGCACAUUGCGCCCCCUGGCCUUCCGGGGGGCAUGCCUGUUCGAGCGUCAUUAUAACCACUCAAGCUCUCGCUUGGUAUUGGGGCUCGCGGUUCCGCGGCCCCUAAAAUCAGUGGCGGUGCCUGUCGGCUCUACGCGUAGUAAUACUCCUCGCGAUUGAGUCCGGUAGGUCUACUUGCCAGCAACCCCCAAUUUUUACAGGUUGACCUCGGAUCAGGUAGGGAUACCCGCUGAACUUAAGCAUAUCAAUAAGCGGAGGA
rnacentral:misc_RNA from 1 species